AGUUGAUGAGCUACACAUGCUGCAAACUCAGUGGCAGAUACAGGCACGUACUAGAUGAAGGCAGGGUUCGUACUUUAAAUAAACUUGUGUCCCUCGUUGGCUAAUGCUAACAUAUGCCCUUGGGCUCUUGGGACACGUGUUAAUGAUACAUUUAUAUUUAUAGAAAUAUUUUCUUGAACGUAACGUAACUUGUGGCCUUAGCUGGACACAAUUUAGCAAGACGCUUCUUCAUUUUCAUUUCCAGUAACAAUGGCUUCUCCCUCUAUCGCACCGGAAUAUCUUCGGAGGCGGAGGUCCUAGAAUGUAAAUUACACCGUCACCUCAACUACUUCGAUGCACUGAGUCUCCACCGUUCCUUAGAAUCUUCUGCCUCCUCGCGAGGCGUUCGAAUUGAAGAGGAAGGUUGAAGAAACCUAACGCGAGGGACUUAAAUUAAAUGGAAACCAAUGCUCAUCUAGACCUGGGACUAUGGGGUUAAUGGACGCCGUCAUUCACGCGACGAAAUGGCAGCGAGAAGCAAAAGGAAAAAGGCAGAAAUAAGAAAGUCAUACCGGAGACGAUCGGAGAAGGAGAUGAGACGCACACCCAGGUGAUGGUUCACGAGCUUUGGCGAUGAAUCUCGUGAGGCGAGGAUGACGGAAACUCGCUUCUUCCCAGGAUGAUGAAAGAUGGAGCCGAACGUUACCUUGAGGUGCUCCUCUUAUCCAUUCCUCUAGGUUUUUUCUUGGAAUUGUAUGGAGGAUGAAGAUGGAAGAAGACGUUGAAAAACGAGAGAGAGUGCGUUGGUUGAAGAAAACCAAUCACAGUUUGAUUGAAGGUGGAGAAAAGAUGGAGAAAAAUGUGAGAGGGUGAAGGUGGUGAGAAGAUCCUGUGUGUAAUGCUGAGAGAAGGAGAAAAAAGAUUCCAAAAGCUCCAAAGUGUGGAUGUAUUUAUAGUGAGGGUUAUGGCUUGUGCAAGUUUGCUGUGUAGGAUUAUUUCUUUGCAAAGCUUGAUGCUCACAUGAUGAUGCUCAUGGUUGGCUUGAUUUCGUUGCAGGCCAGGCAAGUACUUCAGGCGGGAAGUUGUACAAACCACACCUAAGAAUUUCUCCUCUUCACUGAAAGAUAAGUCUGCCAUUUGGUUACUCAACUCUGUAAACAGGGCCAAGGGAGCCUACUCCCAGAAGGUGGUUUUACUGAAGCUGUGAGUAACCAACUGAAACUUGGCUGCUGUGUAAACUUUCGUCCUCCCCGUGAAUUUGUCUCUUUCAGAAAACUUCUUGACGUUUCCCCAUUGCUUUUGUGGUUCUGGUAAGGUAAAACCUUGGAUUCAAAACGGGUGCAACAUUGAAAGGUGGGAUUUGCUGCAUAUCAUCUCGUGCCGCAUAAGAGACCUCUUCGGCUGCAUGAUUGCAAUGGGAUUCUGCAGGUGUGUGUACUGUUGUAUUGCAAUUUGUAGGGCCAUGUUAGCUUUGCAAUGUGUUUUGCUGCUGUGGCAUAGUUCUCGUCACUGACGUUUCUCGUCGCUGACGUUUCCGUUUGGCCUUGGUGGCUUGGCUCUUUUUUCUUGGUUUCGUUUGCAGCUGGUUGUGAUGCUGCUAGCGUUGUUGCCUGUUGCAAUUUCGGCAGCUGCUAUCACUUCCAAUGUAUUUUCCUUUUCCUUCCUUUUGUCUCAUGUGAUUACUUGGACCAUUAUUGAUUGUAUUUGGUCUGUAAUGUAAUGAAUAAUUGGUAAAUGAAAAAAAGAUUUGGAUUGA